rnacentral:lncRNA from 1 species
CCGCUGUGUUUCUGAGGGAGGCUUUGGUGGUUCCGGGUUCCGUGCUGAGACCAGCUGCUAGGAGCUGUGAGGAGAGAGGGCGAGCUGGGGAUCCGCGCCAUGGAUGCAGUGACCUAUGAGGAUGUGCAUGUGAACUUCUCUCAUGAAGAGUGGGCUUUGCUGGAUUCUUCCCAGAAGAGUCUCUACAGAGAUGUGAUGCUGGAAACCUACUGGAACCUCACUGCUAUCGGUAAG